rnacentral:rRNA from 1 species
AAAGCANGGCAGAUCCAAUUUUCUGCCACCGAAUACAUUAGCAUGGGAUAAUGGAAUAGGACCCUGUCCUCCUAUUUUCAGUUGGUUUUGGCAGCGCGAGGACUAGGGUAAUGAUUAAUAGGGAUAGUUGGGGGCAUUAAUAUUUAAUUGUCAGAGGUGAAAUUCUUGGAUUUAUGAAAGAUUAACUUCUGCGAAAGCAUCUGCCAAGGAUGUUUUCAUUAAUCAAGAACGAAAGUUAGGGGAUCGAAGACGAUCAGAUACCGUCGUAGUCUUAACCAUAAACGAUGCCGACCAGCGAUUAGGAGACGUUGAAUACAAAACACCACCAUCGGUGCGGUCGUCCUUGGCGUCGGUCUUUCGGGGCCGGCGCGGGGACGGCUCAGCUUGUGA